AUUGGACGCUGGCGGCAUGCCUUACACAUGCAAGUCGAACGGCAGCACGGGUGCUUGCACCUGGUGGCGAGUGGCGAACGGGUGAGUAAUACAUCGGAACAUGUCCUGUAGUGGGGGAUAGCCCGGCGAAAGCCGGAUUAAUACCGCAUACGAUCUACGGAGGAAAGCGGGGGACCUUCGGGCCUCGCGCUAUAGGGUUGGCCGAUGGCUGAUUAGCUAGUUGGUGGGGUAAAGGCCUACCAAGGCGACGAUCAGUAGCUGGUCUGAGAGGACGACCAGCCACACUGGGACUGAGACACGGCCCAGACUCCUACGGGAGGCAGCAGUGGGGAAUUUUGGACAAUGGGCGAAAGCCUGAUCCAGCAAUGCCGCGUGUGUGAAGAAGGCCUUCGGGUUGUAAAGCACUUUUGUCCGGAAAGAAAUCCUUGGCCCUAAUACGGUCGGGGGAUGACGGUACCGGAAGAAUAAGCACCGGCUAACUACGUG
rnacentral:rRNA from 1 species